UCAUCCUACGGGGGGCAGCAGUGGGGGAUAUUGCACAAUGGGGGAAACCCUGAUGCAGCGACGCCGCGUGAGUGAAGAAGUAAUUCGUUACGUAAAGCUCUAUCAGCAGGGAAGAAAAUGACGGUACCUGAAGAAGAAGCCCCGGCUAACUACGUGCCAGCAGCCGCGGUAAUACGUAGGGGGCAAGCGUUAUCCGGAUUUACUGGGUGUAAAGGGGGCGCAGACGGCGAUGCAAGCCAGGAGUGAAAGCCCGGGGCCCAACCCCGGCACUGCUCUUGGAACUGCGUGGCUGGAGUGCAGGAGGG
rnacentral:rRNA from 1 species